UUGUGCGACCCUUGGCUUUCCAUAACUAUUGUUUUUUUACUUUGAAUGCUCUGGGAGCGGGGAGAGGGACUGGAUCAGACGGGAGGAGGAAAAGUGCUGGAGUGCCAUUUGCAAGCCUCUCCAGGUGCACAACUUGGGAGUCAUCCUGGCAGUGGGCCUGAAGCAGAGAUCCAGAUAUAACAUGACUGGCUGCUCUUCCUGCUUAUGGAAUAUACCUGGAGCCCAAC